rnacentral:rRNA from 1 species
AGCAUAUCAAUAAGCGGAGGAAAAAGAAACCCAACAGGGAUUGCCUCAGUAACGGCGAGUGAAGCGGCAACAGCUCAAAUUUGAAAUCUGGCUCACGCCCGAGUUGUAAUUUGUAGAGGAUGUUUCGGGUGAAGCCACGGUCCAAGUCCCUUGGAACAGGACGUCAUAGAGGGUGAGAACCCCGUACCUGGCCGUCGGUGCCCCCCCGCUGUGAAACUCCUUCGACGAGUCGAGUUGUUUGGGAAUGCAGCUCUAAAUUGGUGGUAAAUUCCAUCUAAAGCUAAAUACCGGCCAGAGACCGAUAGCGCACAAGUAGAGUGAUCGAAAGAUGAAAAGCACUUUGAAAAGAGAGUUAAAAAGUACGUGAAAUUGUUGAAAGGGAAGCGCUUGCGGCCAGACUUGCCCGCGGUUGCUCAGCCCGCCUUUUGGCGGGUGCACUCUUCCGCGGUCAGGCCAGCAUCGGUUUGGGCGGUCGGAUAAAGGCGCUGGGAACGUGGCCUCCCCUCGGGGAGGUGUUAUAGCCCGGCGUGCAAUGCGACCAGCCCGGACCGAGGUUCGCGCUUUGCUAGGAUGCUGGCGUAAUGGCCGUAAGCGGCCCGUCUUGAAACACGGACCAAGGAGUCUAACAUCUAUGCGAGUGUUUGGGUGUCAAACCCGUGCGCGUAAUGAAAGUGAACGGAGGUGGGAACCGCAAGGUGCACCAUCGACCGAUCCUGAUGUCUUCGGAAGGAUUUGAGUAAGAGCAUAGCUGUUGGGACCCGAAAGAUGGUGAACUAUGCGUGAAUAGGGUGAAGCCAGAGGAAACUCUGGUGGAGGCUCGCAGCGGUUCUGACGUGCAAAUCGAUCGUCAAAUUUGCGUAUAGGGGCGAAAGACUAAUCGAACCAUUUAGUAGCUGGGUUCCUGCCGAAG